GAUGAACGCUGGCGGGGUGCUUAACCCAUGCAAGUUGAACGAAGCAACUUAUUACGAUCCCUUUGGGGUGACGAUUUGUUGACUGAGUGGCGGACGGGUGAGUAACGCGUGGGUAACCUUCCUUGUACAGGGGGAUAACAGUUGGAAACGACUGCUAAUUCCGCAUAAGCGCACAGCAUUGCAUGAUGCAGUGUGAAAAGUUUUUUCGGUAUAAGAUGGACCCGCGUCUGAUUAGCUAGUUGGUGAGGUAACGGCCCACCAAGGCGACGAUCAGUAGCCGACCUGAGAGGGUGACCGGCCACAUUGGGACUGAGACACGGCCCAAACUCCUACGGGAGGCAGCAGUGGGGAAUAUUGCACAAUGGGCGAAAGCCUGAUGCAGCGACGCCGCGUGAGCGAAGAAGUAUUUCGGUAUGUAAAGCUCUAUCAGCAGGGAAGAUAAUGACGU
rnacentral:rRNA from 1 species